UGCCAGCAGCCGCGGUAAUACGAAGGGUGCAAGCGUUAAUCGGAAUUACUGGGCGUAAAGCGCGCGUAGGUGGUUCAGUAAGUUAGGAGUGAAAGCCCCGGGCUUAACCUGGGAAUUGCUUCUAAAACUGCUGAGCUAGAGUACGGUAGAGGGUGGUGGAAUUUCCUGUGUAGCGGUGAAAUGCGUAGAUAUAGGAAGGAACAUCAGUGGCGAAGGCGACCACCUGGACUGAUACUGACACUGAGGUGCGAAAGCGUGGGGAGCAAACAGGAUUAGAUA
rnacentral:rRNA from 1 species